UUAACAGAAGAAAUGGGGGCUUGAGAAGGCCUAAGCAACUUGCUCAAGGUCGUGUGGUAUAAGAGGCAGAGGUGAACUUUGAUGUCAGGAUUGUAGGACUCAAAAAAAAGUUUGCCUACCCUGCUCUGGAAGCCUGUCUGCACUCGCUCAGUUUCCUCAUCUAUGAAACACGAGGCCUGAGUUAGAUGCCGCAAAGGGGCGAAGUGCUGCUGGAGUGCAGUGGCACCAUCUCAGCUCACUACAACCUCCGCCUCCCUGGCUCAAGCGAUUCUCCUGCCUCAGCCUUCUGAGUAGCUGGUACUACAGGCAUGCACCACCACAUCCGGCUAAUUUUUGUAUUUGUGGUAGAGACAGGGUUUCGCCAUGUUGGCCAGGCUGGUCUCGAACUCCUGACCUCAAGUGAUCUGCCUGCCUUGGCCUCCCAAAGUGCUGGGAUUAAAAGUGUGAGCCACCACACCCGGCCCAUACUUAACUUUUUAAGAAACUUGGCUGUACUGUUUUCCAAGGUGGUUGUACUAUUUUACUUUCCCUCCAGCAUCCUUGUAUGUAUGAGAAUUCCCAUUCCUCCACAUCCUUGACAAAAAUUGGUAUGGUCAGUCUUUUUAUCUUUAGCUAUUCUAAUAGCUAUGUAGUGAUUGCUCAUUGUGGUUGUAAUUUGCAUUUCCCUAAUGACUAAUAAUGUUAAGGAUCUUUUCAUUUGCUUCUUUGCCAUUUGUGUAUCUUCUUUAGUGAACUGUCUAUUUAUAUAUCUUGCCUGCCUGUUUGAAAUUGUUUGAUUUCUUACUAUUGAGUUGUAGGACUUACUUUUAAUAUUCUGGAUACGAGUCUUUGAUCAGAUACGUGAUUUGCAAAUAUUUUCUUCAGUCUCUGGUGUGUCUUGUCAUUCUCUUAAUAGUGUCUUUCAAAGAACCAAAAUUCUUAAUUUUCUUGAAGUCUAAUUUAUCAAUUUCUUCCUUUAUAGAGUGUGCUUU